AAUACUACUCUGGUAAUUGUUUACAAAAGAUUUCGAAUAAAUAGAUUUGAUAAUGAGAGUAAUUAUAAUAGAGAAGCAAUAACGAUUGAUUAGAAAAAGAUGAAAUGAAAAUAAAUUCGCAUAUAGUAUGCAGUGCUGCAAGUCAAACGGACAGACAUAUCUAAGUGUACACGAGGAAAAUACGACCAACUUGUCCCGAAGGAUACUUUCGGAUGGAAUUCAGGCCAGAAAAAAGUUCCAAUUACUCGUUCGUUUUUCCUCCGCCUUCUACGCACGAACAUACUGUAAAUGUCAUUUUUUUUUUUCAUUCUUUCACUUUUGAUCGUUCCGUAGGUGCGAUCAAAAAAGUAAAAUAAAUAUUAAUCGUAACAAUAAUAGUAACAUUUCUAUUUAAAGCAUAGUGUAUAAAUGAAAAAGAAAAAUUAAUAAUGUCAUAAUAGCAAAUUGUUGUUUUGAAACUUGAUAUUAUUUGCGUGAGGCUUAAAAUAAAAGGGGUCAUUUUAAAAAGAGAAACAAGUUGGAAAGACAUGUUUUAAUUUUGACAGAUAGUUUUCACAUUUGAAUAAUUGGCGCUUCUUGACAGAUCACGUGGUUUCUGGUGUCUCAUCCGAUAUCAAACCUUUCAAACUCUCAAGGCAAAAGUUCGAAGGACCUCCGUGCGACCGUAGUGCUCGAAAAGCCGCGCGCGCAAAAGAAACACAACAAAAAAGGAAAUAAAACACGAGAAACACGAUCUCGAUUUCGUAAGAUUGACGAUGGAUGGAAGUGUAGUGAUAUCGAGAGGCUCCAAGAUGGACAAAAAACCAGCUCCGCGGCAAGAAAUCUCCUUUCCGUCGGCAGUAAUAUUGCAAGAUUCUAGGAGACCGGGUCCAUUGAAGGAACCCGGCUGUUCCUCGGCGGAGCAAAUCCGGCAGAGGAACAUCGCCAAAAUGACAGUACCGCGGCAGAACUGUGUGCACAUGCCGGUCAGCUUAUUAGGCUUCUCUUCCUUCCUUCUGCCGGAGUCGCCGCGCCCAGGAAACGUUUCACUUCACCACAUUAUACUUAUAUCAGAUACACAUCAGGAUCCUGGAUCCCUUGACAAACGAAAAGAUGAACACAUAUAGAGAUGGCAUAUAGAAAGGAACGCGUGGCCUGUUAAGGAGCUUAUAAGCUCACGAAACGAACAACGCACGCGCUCACUUUCCCUUUAACGCGGUUUCGACAACAGACGUAUACAAUACGACAUACGUUUACCAACUGACAGCGUAACUAUAUGUGCAAUAGCAGUAACUGCACCAAUUCCCCCUCUUUCACUGAGCUUCAUCCCUACUAUUGCCAUAUUCAUUGCUUUGAACCAAUCAACUUUCUCCGUAAAAACACCACUACCGAUGCACUUCUAGUAUAAUAUACUUGCGAUUCGCAAUAAUUGUGUAUCGAUGAUAUAUACCGUAUAUAGAGAUCUAUAUUUUCAAUCAAUUUUAUGAUUUUUAUUUUAUUUUUUAAGAUGAUAUUUAUAGCACGAUGAUUGAAUGAUAUUUUUUUAAUUGGAUAUUAACUUUGAUACAAAAAAAAAAAAAAUGAAGACUCAUAUGUUUAUUUUUGAGAGAUUAAUUGAUUUUGAAUUUGAAAAUUGUUAAAAAUAUACAUUGAAGAAUAUUGUAAUAUUUAUAAAAA